rnacentral:rRNA from 1 species
CACGUAGGGCGCGAGCGUUGUCCGGAAUUAUUGGGCGUAAAGAGCUCGUAGGCGGCCUGUUGCGUCCGCUGUGAAAGCCCGGGGCUUAACCCCGGGUCGGCAGUGGAUACGGGCAGGCUAGAGGUAGGUAGGGGAGAAUGGAAUUCCCGGUGUAGCGGUGAAAUGCGCAGAUAUCGGGAGGAACACCGGUGGCGAAGGCAGGUCUCUGGGCCACUACUGACGCUGAGGAGCGAAAGCAUGGGGAGCGAACAGG